CAGUCCCUAGCUGGGGAACUAAGAUCCUGCACGUGUGACCAGAAAACAGAAAACAAACAAACAAGCAAAAAAGAGAUGAGAUGGCUCAGUCAUUCAGAGGACUUUCUGAAUCUCAGCAGCAAGGUUUCUGCUCCAGGCACUCCAGCCUGCUUUACCAUGUUGCCUGUGGUCUGUGCACUUACCAUGGUUACUUUUCAUCCUCUCGGCAUUCCUCCCUGACAGCAGGAAAUACAGCUGGGCAGUCUACAACUCUCUGUUCUCCGAUCACUGUCGUUUCAUUUGUAGGUAGCAGCGCCCAAGCCCCCUGUGUGAUUUUGAUGUUGUUGUUCACUCGCCAAGUCAUGUCCGACUCUCUGUGACACCACGGGCUGUAGCCCACCAGGCUCCUUUGUCCAUGGGAUUUCCCAGGCAAGAAUACUGGGGAGGCAGAUGCAAUGUUUGGAGAAGUGUCAGUGCUAUUAUAACUGUGAAAAUGAAAGACAUAUGCUGAGAAGAGUGAAGAAAGAAGAUAGGAUUCUUGGUGAUGUCAUUGAAUCACACAAAAACUGGACUGGAGGAGUCCUUAUUAAAUGAAA